CCAGCCUGAAUUCACCAGAUCACAGUCGCCUCUGCUGUUCCGACCUACAAUCUCUCCACCUCACGGCAUGGAUGCUGCAUGGCUAAACCCUUCAGAACUUCUCUGUUCAGAAUCUGUGCAGCAAGUACUGAUGGGCAGCAGGAAGCCCUCCACUUGGGCCACGUAUACGGCUAAGUGGAAGCGGUUU